CUCGAAGAGAACUCCUGCCCAUCAGAUUCAGGAGAAAAUAAUAUAGAAUUGCCUUGGAUGAUUUCAAAAGUUUCAGUUGAUCCUGGACACAUGCAGAUGAGAACCAUUUACACUAUGUUUGAGAAAACAAUUCAAUGUGAAUGUGAAAAGAAAUCUUCACUCCCUCCAAGAAACGUUUACGUUCUCCUUCGUAGCAUUCACUUCCUUCUCCUUACCAGAUUGUAGUUCUUCUGUGCCUACAUAUCUGCUCCACCCAGCUCUGCCCUGCCAGAGACAACCUCCAUGGACUGCAUCAUCCAGGAUCACUUGUCCUCUCAAUUCUCUUUCGAGUCAGCCAAUAUGGGGCAUCAGCAGGAGAUGAGAAGGUAGGAGGAGAAAUCGCUUAGAAUACUUAUAUCCUCAGCUCUUCUUCCCAGAAGCAUAGGUCAGCAGUGGCUGCAUCACUACCAGUGGCCAAGGCUUCUACUAAAUGACCUUCUCUAAAGCAUGGGUCUUACAAGUUUCUUGAAAGCUCUACACUACUACCUAAGGCCUCCCACUCAUCGCAACCUGUGACUAGCCCUAGGAUAAUUGACCAGUUUUUCUUGGUUACUCUACCAGUAUGGUUAUAAAUGGACACUUUCUUAAACUCUCCUCAAUAACCACAUAUGAGCACAUCAUUUUCUCCCUGCCAGGACACUCACUAA